rnacentral:ncRNA from 1 species
CCCUUUAAUUUUGGUGGCAGCAGUAUUAUUACUCUCAAAAGGUAUUGGCUUUAAAAGAUGUGUUCAGCCUAUAAUAUUUACAUAUUAAGGUAACUUAACUUAAGUGUAGAGUUUUGUUUAGUGGCUAAAAAAGUGCCAGCAGCCGCGGUUAUACUUAUUACUAAAGUAAUCUACUCAUUUAAUAUUUAUUGCUAGGAUAUGGUUUAUUUUUUGGUGAAAUAGGAAAAACCAUGAAACAUUAUCAGCUAUUAUAAAUUAGAAAUUAAAACUAGGAUUAGAUACCCUACUAUUCUAACAACCUUAUAUUUAAAUUUAAAGCAUUAAUACUACAAUCAGUAAAAACUUAAAAAAUAUGGCGGUUGAAAUAUACCUCAGGGGAACUUACCUAAUAAUAGAUAACCAUCAAUAUACAUUACUUUUAUUUAUAGCUUGUAUGCCGUCGUCAACAGGAUAUAUAGUUAAUAUAUUCAUUAAUAUUACAUUUACCAAUGACAGAUCAAGGUGCAGCCAAUAUUAAAGUUCAGGCGAGUUACAAUUUUAGAUUUUAUCCUUAAUUAAUUUAAAUAUAAAAUGCUAGAUGGACUUGAAAGUAAAUUUUAAUUUAAAUAUAUUUAUUGAAUUAUUCUAUUUCAGUGCACAAAUCGCCCGUCACUCUCGUUUUUAAAUGAGAUAAGUCGUAACAUAGUAGAUGUAGCGGAAGCUGUAUCU